rnacentral:rRNA from 1 species
GACGAACGCUGGCGGCGUGCCUAAUACAUGCAAGUCGAGCGCAGGAAGCUCACGGAACUCUUCGGAGGGAAGUGAAGGGAAUGAGCGGCGGACGGGUGAGUAACACGUAAGGAACCUGCCCCAAGGAUUGGGAUAACUCCGAGAAAUCGGAGCUAAUACCGAAUAGUUCUUCAGACCGCAUGGUCUGAUGAUGAAAGGCGCUCCGGCGUCACCUUGGGAUGGCCUUGCGGUGCAUUAGCUAGUUGGUGGGGUAACGGCCCACCAAGGCGACGAUGCAUAGCCGACCUGAGAGGGUGAUCGGCCACACUGGGACUGAGACACGGCCCAGACUCCUACGGGAGGCAGCAGUAGGGAAUCUUCCACAAUGGACGAAAGUCUGAUGGAGCAACGCCGCGUGAGUGAUGAAGGUUUUCGGAUCGUAAAACUCUGUUGUAAGGGAAGAACAAGUACGAGAGGAAAUGCUCGUACCUUGACGGUACCUUGCGAGAAAGCCACGGCUAACUACGUGCCAGCCGCCGCCGUAA